GAUGCAAUGCCACAGACUUUCUUUGUAAAAAAAGUGACCCACAUAAGGUAUCUCUCUCGAAUAUAUAAUGUUAUUCAAUACAUUGGUGCUAACUGCGAAACAACCUUUAUGUAGUUAAUCAAUAGAUAAAUAUGGAUAACAUAUAUGCUCAAAAAUCUUUAUAAAUAUUAUUUUAAUGAGAUCCCUUGAUACAUUACCAUGAACUUUCUUUAGGAAGAAAGUGACCCACAUAACAUAUCUUUCCAGUGUCCAAUAGAAUCAACUUAGCAAGGUAUCAUCAGCUUUUGGAGGUUCAUCUACUUUAAUAGAAUGAAUCCCUAGACUAUGCACACUCACUAGCUAUAAAAUAUUUUACUUCUAAAUUAUAACAUACAAUAAACUCUC
rnacentral:lncRNA from 1 species